rnacentral:rRNA from 1 species
CCUAACACAUGCAAGUCGAGCGGUAAUAGGAAGAAGCUUGCUUCUUUGCUGACGAGUGGCGGACGGGUGAGUAAUGUCUGGGAAACUGCCUGAUGGAGGGGGAUAACUACUGGAAACGGUAGCUAAUACCGCAUAACGUCGCAAGACCAAAGAGGGGGACCUUCGGGCCUCUUGCCAUCGGAUGUGCCCAGAUGGGAUUAGCUAGUAGGUGGGGUAACGGCUCACCUAGGCGACGAUCCCUAGCUGGUCUGAGAGGAUGACCAGCCACACUGGAACUGAGACACGGUCCAGACUCCUACGGGAGGCAGCAGUGGGGAAUAUUGCACAAUGGGCGCAAGCCUGAUGCAGCCAUGCCGCGUGUAUGAAGAAGGCCUUCGGGUUGUAAAGUACUUUCAGCGGGGAGGAAGGGAGUAAAGUUAAUACCUUUGCUCAUUGACGUUACCCGCAGAACAAGCACCGGCUAACUCCGUGCCUGCAUCCGCGGUAAUACGGAGGGUGCAAGCGUUAAUCGGAAUUACUGAGCGUAAGGCGCACGCAGGCGGCUUGUUAAGUCAUAUGUGAAAUCCCCGGGCUCAACCUGUCAACUGCAUCUGAUACUGGCAAGCUUGAGUCUCGUAGAGGGGGGGUAGAAUUCAGGGUGUAGCGGGGAAAUGCGUAGAGAUCUGGAGGAAUANCAGGUGCGAAGGCGGGCCCCCUGGACGAAGACUGACGCUCAGGUGCGAAAGCGUGGGCAGCAAACAGGAUUAGAUACCCUGGUAGUCCACGCCGUAAACGAUGUCGACUUGGAGGAUGUGCCCUUGAGGCGUGGCUUCCGGAGCUAACGCGUUAAGUCGACCGCCUGGGGAGUACGGCCGCAAGGUUAAAACUCAAAUGAAUUGACGGGGGCCCGCACAAGCGGUGGAGCAUGUGGUUUAAUUCGAUGCAACGCGAAGAACCUUACCUGGUCUUGACAUCCACGGAAGUUUUCAGAGAUGAGAAUGUGCCUUCGGGAACCGUGAGACAGGUGCUGCAUGGCUGUCGUCAGCUCGUGUUGUGAAAUGUUGGGUUAAGUCCCGCAACGAGCGCAACCCUUAUCCUUUGUUGCCAGCGGUCCGGCCGGGAACUCAAAGGAGACUGCCAGUGAUAAACUGGAGGAAGGUGGGGAUGACGUCAAGUCAUCAUGGCCCUUACGACCAGGGCUACACACGUGCUACAAUGGCGCAUACAAAGAGAAGCGACCUCGCGAGAGCAAGCGGACCUCAUAAAGUGCGUCGUAGUCCGGAUUGGAGUCUGCAACUCGACUCCAUGAAGUCGGAAUCGCUAGUAAUCGUGGAUCAGAAUGCCACGGUGAAUACGUUCCCGGGCCUUGUACACACCGCCCGUCACACCAUGGGAGUGGGUUGCAAAAGAAGUAGGUAGCUUAACCUUAGGGAGGGCGCUUACCACUUUGUGAUUCAUGACUGGGGU